CCGCAUAUUAUAUGUAUAUUAGGCAGUGUAUUGGUACAAAUAUCAGUCAUGGGUUAGCUUGUGGUCCCUCGGGGUCAUGAGCACCAUGUAGCAUUCCGAUUUAGAAAAUCACGGUGUUAUAGGCCGGCAUGUGGCAACCCAGUCUAGCCGCAAAAGCAGCUCAAGUAGUCCACCGAUAGCCAACGGGUUUGGUACUUGGACUCCCGCGCCCAAACC
rnacentral:lncRNA from 1 species